UCUCCCUGGAAAACGGGUGGUAAUGCCGGAUGCUCCGACUCCUCGCAUGGGGUGUCGGGAAAGAUUUCAUCGGUAUGGGAUGGGGUCGCGUCCUAUCAGGUAGUCGGCGGGGUAACGGCCCACCGAGCCUACGACGGGUAGCCGGCCUGAGAGGGCGACCGGCCACAUUGGGACUGAGAUACGGCCCAGACUCCUACGGGAGGCAGCAGUGGGGAAUAUUGCACAAUGGGCGCAAGCCUGAUGCAGCGACGCCGCGUGCGGGAUGACGGCCUUCGGGUUGUAAACCGCUUUUGAUCGGGAGCAAGCCUUCGGGUGAGUGUACCUUUCGAAUAAGCACCGGCUAACUACGUGCCAGCAGCCGCGGUAAUACGUAGGGUGCAAGCGUUAUCCGGAAUUAUUGGGCGUAAAGGGCUCGUAGGCGGUUCGUCGCGUCCGGUGUGAAAGUCCAUCGCUUAACGGUGGAUCUGCGCCGGGUACGGGCGGGCUGGAGUGCGGUAGGGGAGACUGGAAUUCCCGGUGUAACGGUGGAAUGUGUAGAUAUCGGAAAAGAACACC
rnacentral:rRNA from 1 species